UAGGGAAUCUUCCACAAUGGGCACAAGCCUGAUGGAGCAACACCGCGUGAGUGAAGAAGGGUUUCGGCUCGUAAAGCUCUGUUGUUAAAGAAGAACACGUAUGAGAGUAACUGUUCAUACGUUGACGGUAUUUAACCAGAAAGUCACGGCUAACUACGUGCAAG
rnacentral:rRNA from 1 species